GUGUCAGCCGCCGCGGUAAUACAGAGGUCUCAAGCGUUGUUCGGAUUCAUUGGGCGUAAAGGGUGCGUAGGCGGCGCGGUAAGUCGGGUGUGAAAUCUUGGAGCUUAACUCCGAAACUGCAUUCGAUACUGCCGUGCUUGAGGACUGGAGAGGAGACUGGAAUUUACGGUGUAGCGGUGAAAUGCGUUGAUAUCCACAGGAACUCCGGUGGCGAAGGCGGCACGCUGGACCUUUUCUGACGCUGAGGCGCGAAAGCCAGGGGAGCGAACGGGAUUAGAUACCCCGGUAGUCCUGGCCCUAAACGUUGAGAACUAGGUAGUAGGCCAGACAUGGGCUUACUGCCGGAGCAAAAGUGCUAAGUUCUCCGCCUGGGGAGUAUGGUCGCAAGGCUAAA
rnacentral:rRNA from 1 species